GAUGAACGCUGGCGGCGUGCCUAAUACAUGCAAGUCGAGCGAACAGACGAGGAGCUUGCUCCUCUGACGUUAGCGGCGGACGGGUGAGUAACACGUGGAUCACCUACCUAUAAGACUGGGAUCACUUCGGGAAACCGGAGCAAAUACCGGAUAAUAUAUUGAACCGCAUGGUUCAAUAGUGAAAGACGGCUUUGCUGUCACUUAUAGAUGGAUCUGCGCCGCAUUGGCUAGUUGGUAAGGUAACGGCUUACCAAGGCAACGAGGCGUAGCCGACCUGAGAGGGUGGUCGGCCACCCGGGAACUGAGCCACGGUCCAUGCGCCUACGGUAGGCAGCAGUAGGGUAUCUUCCGCAAUGGGCGAAAGCCUGACGGAGCAACGCCGCGUGAGUUAUGAAGGUCUUCGGAUCGUAAAACUCUGUUACUAGGUAAGAACAAAUGUGUAAGUAACUAUGCACGUCUUGACGGUACCUAAUCAGAAAGCCACGGCUAACUACGUG
rnacentral:rRNA from 1 species